rnacentral:rRNA from 1 species
UGGGGAAUCUUGCACAAUGGGGGAAACCCUGAUGCAGCGACGCCGCGUGAGCGAUGAAGCCCUUCGGGGUGUAAAGCUCUUUCGGCAGGGAAGAUAAUGACGGUACCUGCAGAAGCAGCUGCGGCUAACUACGUGCCAGCAGCCGCGGUAAUACGUAGGCAGCAAGCGUUGUUCGGAGUUACUGGGCGUAAAGGGUGUGUAGGUGGUUGUCUAAGUUUGGUGUGAAAUCUCCCGGCUUAACCGGGAGGGUGCGCCGAAAACUGGGUGACUAGAGUGCAGGAUGGGAGAGUGGAAUUCCUGGUGUAGCGGUGAAAUGCGUAGAUAUCAGGAGGAACACCGGCGGUGUAGACGGCUCUCUGGACUGUAACUGACACUGAAACACGAAAGCGUGGGUAGCAAACAG